rnacentral:lncRNA from 1 species
UAAACCUCAAACCUGAGGGGGUAUUAUGUAAUUUACCCUAUUAAAAUUUAUGACAAGAAAGUUAAAAACAAAUUAAGUUUAUAAAUAUGUGUCAAUAAAUAAUUAAGAUCAUAAAGAGAUUAAAAUUUUAGCUCUAGACUCUUUUCAUUAAUAUUUGAAUUAAUUAUUUUAUAAUAUUAGCAUGUAAACUAAAACUAAACUGUAAACAAAUUUCAUGUGGAGUCUAACUUUUAAGAGCUCCCUAACAUUUCUCUUUUCUAAAAGUUCUCGAGCAGGAUUAACAUGCAGA